UUAACCUCGGAUCAGGUAGGGAUACCCGCUGAACUUA
rnacentral:rRNA from 1 species